UUUAUUCCUCUUUUUUUUUUUAAUUUUAUUUUGCAAACUUUAAAUAUGAUUUCUAUAAUUUUAUUUUUUUUAUUUUAAUAUUAUAUAAUUUAAAAUAUAUCAUUUUAAUAUUUUAAGAUUUUAUUUAUUUCUCUUCGUCGGCGCCUCCGUUAAUCUUUCGUUAAAUCAUAUGUAAAAAAUUUCAGAUACACAUUUAUGAUUUAUCAAAUAUUCAUUUUAGUAUCAUGUGGAUUACCGAAUUUUUAUUUUAUUACUAUGUAGUUUUAACUUUGUCACUGACUUAACGAAAAAAUUAACCGAGGAGAUAAUGGAAAGGGAAAAAUAAAACUAUAUAUAUGGUAUGAAAGUGAUACAUUUUAAAUCACAAGAUACUAAAGUGAGAAAAUGUGAAAUCACCGGGGUGGUAUUUGAACUUUUCCCUUUUAAGAAAAAGGAAACUUUCUUCCCCAGGUUAAAAAUAAAAUUUUGAUCUCAUUUACCUCUGCUUUAAAAGGGGCAAACUUCAAAUACCAUUAUUGUGGUUUCGCACUUUUUUAUUUUAGUACCCUAUGGUUUAAACUAUAUCAAAUUAGUACCUUGGGAUUGUGGAAGGAUAAAAUAGUAAUUUUACAGAGAUAACAAAGUUAAUUAACAGAUUUUAACUCUAGGAGUAUAUUAGAAAUAGGUUGGAAUGUAGAAAGGGUAUUUUCAAUAUUAACCUUUUAAGAGGAGUAAAUUAGAAAGUCGAAAAUUUUUCAGGGGUAUAUAAGCAAUUGCCUCUAUUUUUUUUGUUUGAAGGAAAAAAUGUGAGUGGGAGUUUUUAGAAUUUAUUUUGAGAUUUUUUUCCAAAUGAGAG
rnacentral:lncRNA from 1 species